GGCCUUCUCUUGCAAGAAGGCCUCUGAAAGGCCUCUGAAGCAUCCCCCUUGCUUCACAGUCAUGCCUUAUUUAUGUUAGUGCUUUUUGGUAGUACGCACAUUUGUGAAAAAUAUUGUCAAGAAGACUACACUUCCUUGCAUGGGAAAAGUAAAAUUUCAUCAGAGAUCUCUGAUGAGCACCUUGAGAACUCACUAAGAAUUGCAACCACUGCCACUGAAGCAGCCUGAUGCAUCACUGUCACAAAAACAAGGUCAUAUAUCCCACUAGUUUUAUGCUUUUGUUACUCGCUUUUUAAAAUAUGUUUUAAUCUUUAAGAAGUUAACAUAAAUUUUGUUACUUACAUGAAGUAGCCAUAUGAUAUACUUUACAAGGACUAAUCUGAAAGUAAUGCCACCUAUUUUAUGAUGUUGGCCCAUGACGUUAGAGGCAGAUGUUUGUAGGAUAGAAGUUGAACCUUCCCACAGGUAUUCCAUCACACGUUGUUGCCAUGUGACAGAUGGCUGCAGAGGGGCAGUCUGACAAAAUGCUGUCUGACAUGGAAGAGCAUAUAACCAAAGAUGUGGAAAAAUUGCUACCUAUUGACAUUCAGCUGGUGAAUGUUUAUGGAGACCAAACAGUGUAUGUGAGCACAGUGAGGAGGUGAGUGGUCCAUUGUGACAGUAGCAGUGGGUCACCUCCACUGGUGCAUGUUUUGACAAGCAUGGCGUGCAGGCUUUUGUUCAUUGAUGGUGAAAAAGCUUAGCUAAUGGUGGUGACUAUGUUGAAAAAUAAUGCUUUCUAGAUAGUAAUUUGAUCUAUCAAAUAUUGUUUCUGUGCUCUUUGUAUCAGUUGCAGUUUCUACGGGAAUACAUAUGAAGCAUUACUUUUGGAGUGACCUAUGUAUAUGGAGCUCAAAACUCAUUGUGAUCAAAGGGUUGGAUACUAACUCACUAACAUGUUUGUAUGGGAACUGUUGAAUCACAGCCUGAACCUCUGAUUGACCACCUGAGGCAAGCACUGAGUCAGCCACAGGGGCACAGGUGAAUGCAAUUUCACCUGAGUGACCAGAAGGGGUGGAGCCUGGCUGGGCUGUUAGACCCCAUUUAAGGGCUGACUCCCAAGGAGGAAGGAUCUCUAUCUGGAGAUCACUCCCCUUGGAGCCCUUCUGCAAGCCCAGGAUAUGGGUAAGAUCUUCAUUUAAUUACUCCUUUGUAAUCAUGAUAAUCUCUCUGGUCCUAUACCUAUUUACCUUACAAUUUGUAUACCUGUUUGCCAAGUACAUGUUCAUUCAUGAGGGGAAAAAAAAAAUGGAAAACCCACUUAGAUCACCAUUUCCAUCACUUUGCUACAGCUGCUCCAAUAAAUGUAUGCUAUGUGCAUUCUUCUGUGUUCCCAUUGUGCAGAGGGAGCCCCGUGCUCUUUGGGACCCAGCUCUGGGGUUGGAUCCUACCCCAGCAAGCUCUACACCAUGCUUUUGGAGUCCGGGGGUGGGAGGGAGCCUUAAACAUCCCAGCUACAGCUCAGCGAUGCCCCUGGGUCGCUACGAAGGCCAUCCCCGGGGCAGGGGAAGCCGCUGUCCCCUUGUCCAGGCGCCUCCUGACGGCCAAGGCAGAAGUUCUUGGAGCCCGGAUGCAGACGCUACAAUGGCACAACCCUGUGGCAGCGAGGGGAAGAGCAUUAUAGUAUUUUUGGCCUGCAAACUGUCUGCAUGUGCCACGCGGCAGCUACUCGCUUUACGCACUAACAAGUUGAUUCGUGUUUGAGAAGACUUUUUUUUUAUUAUUUAUGUCUGACAGGAAAAAGACCUUAUGCUCUAUAAUGGACCAUUUUGGGUAGAAAGGAGCUGCUGCCUGCCAUGCAUCUGAACAACAUCCCAACACUGGAAGGUUUAUGAACCCAGACAAACCUUGCAUCCUAAUGGCUACCUUCCAGCGUGAGGUUGUCCCCCUCCCCCCCAACAGCGAUAACAGUGAUUUAAUUAUGUUUUAGCUUUCUCCAAACCUGGAGGAAGCACAAAAGCAGGUUUUAUUUUUCUUAGGACUGAGCAAGAGCAGUGACGCGUUGGUGCCUGGAGCACUCAGGAACAUUCCCUCCCAAGAGUGUCUUGACAGAGGACAGUCCUAAUCACCUGCACUGUGGUUUUGUUUCGUGAUUUCUGGAUUAACUUCCAGAAUUUCAGAUCACUUAGAACACUUCUAUUAACAUGCCUUUGAGACAACCAAGUUGAUAGCAUUACACACACGUUAUGUGCAUGCUGGAUAGCAUGGAGGGCCUCCAGAUCACUCAGAGGUAAGCACAGAUUUCUUUCUUCCCUUCACAAAUUAUGUAUUCAACUUCAAAGUCUGAGAGACAAAGAUUUUCUAGGUCACUGUGGGCAGGUAUGCUUUUUGAGCACAGACCUUACUUUCUUGCUUGCGCACCCCUACCCCACCACAGCCUUUUUGCACAGGGGUUAUCUCCCAGGCACAAAGACCACAGCCUUCAGCAAUGCAAGCACACACCAAACAGUGUCCAAACUUCGUUAUUUAAACAGAGACAAAAAAUAAACAAAGAAACAACAACAAAAAAAAACCAACCCAGCUUCAUCGACAUUUUGUUGUUAUGCUCCAGUCCUCGUACAGGAUGCGCAUCCGCUGUGCGGGGCCGAAGCCCCGGGGAGGAGUGAAGCUGGGACGAUGCCGGCCGGCGUCCCGUCCUGUCGCUGUCACUCAGAGCCGGGCAAGCGGGGAAGAGCGGCGCACGGCAGCACCUUGGACAGAGCCACACCGCGCACUGCCCAGCCCAGGUGCUCUGCUAUUGCCUAUGAUACCCGUUGUACUGCCGUGGCCUUUGCGUGCGGGAAACAACCGCCGUGGGGUACCAACGACUCUCUCCGGGGUCCCUCAGCCGGCUCCCGCCAUGCCCAGCCCCGCGGCGGGGACGGCCACAGGAGGCGGCGGAAAGCGGCGGCUCCGCGAUCCCACCAUCGCUGCGCUCCUGAGGGAAAGCGGGGCCGCUUCCGGUGCGAGGCGGAUAUGGGCGGAAGUGGCGCCGCCGCACCGCCUGCUCACAGGGCGCCGCCAUGCGGAGCGGAGGUUAGCAGGGUGCUGGGAGCCCAAGUGCCGCCCCGUCCAGGCUGGGAUCCCACCAAGGGCGUCUCAUCCAGGCUGGAACCCUUCCAUUGCCCCCGAUAGCUGACUUUUCCCGGAUGCAGACAAAUUGACUGAGUUCUUGUAGAGUGUUGAUCCUCAUUUCCAACGCCUGCUCCUCUCCACGUCAGCUCUGUGGAAGUAAGAUGGCAAUUUGGGGCUUAGAUAUUGACAGGUGACUUCGGAGAACAGUGCCCAUAAAGUAAAAGCUAUUAUCCCAAAGUGCAAGCCAAGGGCAAAGAAAAAUCUACCCUUCAAAUCUCUUACAGAAAGAUCUCUGCAUCACCUGCACUGAACUAUCUCUGAGAAUCUUUUAUACCCCCAUUUAAGUGUGGGUGAGAAACCCAUAAUAGCAGUGAGCAAGCGGUAGGGGAUUUCUGCUUUCUAACAAAGAUGCUUAGUCCUUUUAUACCCAGUAUGCAUGAAAACAGACCCUUAGGAUUUGGAGUCUAACAUCUACAGUGUACAGAUAAAGUGGCGUUGACCUGAAAAUCAUUAUGACCUUCUACUUUGCAAAGAUGUGAACUCUGACUUUAAGAAACAAGCGAAUUAAAAUAUGUUUAGACAAAAAGUGGUUAUUUAUCUGUUUUUAAUUCUGAUACCACAUUUCCCAAUCAAAGAGAAAUUUCUCCGGAAAUGAAUUCAUGUAUCUGUGGUCUACUAGAGGUGACUUUGAUGGACUUUAACUUUAUUAGAGUCAAAGAAUCCUUAUGGUUGGAAAAGACCUCUGAGAUCAUCUAGUCUGACUAUGCACCUACCACCAACACUGCCCACUAAAACACAUCCCUAAGUACCACAUCUGCAUCUUUCUGUAACACCUUCAGGGACAGGGACUCCCUGGGCAGCCUGUUGCAGUGCCUGACCACUCUUUUGGAGACUGAGUUUUUCCUAAUAACCUGAUGAGCUGAUAACAACUAAUCAGGCUGUUAUUAAGAUUUCUCCAGCCCUCACUGAAUGUCCUUGCUUUGGUUUCAUAAACAGUAGUUACUUAUCUUUUAAUCAUAAUUAAAAUCACUGGUCAUCUUGUUUGUGAUAUCAGGGUAAUAUAAAUGAGUAUCAGAGUUUUUUAUUAAAACUAUGAUGGAGGCAUAUUUUGACUUGGCAGUAACAAAGUGGCUCCAUUCAGCACAGCUCACCUUCAAUCAGUUAUGCUUGUUCUUGUCUGAUCGUUGGCUACACACACAGGGUUGUUAGUAGGCUAAGGCUGAGUGCUGUUUUCCUGCUGAAGAAGGAAGGUGUGCUGAGGAAUGCAGUGUGGGCUGCUUGAUGCGUGCUUCACUCCUUCCCAUGGAGCUUGUGCAUCUCCCCCACUCUAGAGCUUGUUUAUUUCUUCCUUGACACGUUUUCCUUUAGAGCAAAAUGGUAAAGAUUUGGAUUCUAGUGCAAAAACAGAAAAACCAUGAACUGCUAUG